GUUUUGGGUCUCUGGUAACAGUGAGAGCUUCCAGCAGACCGUGGGAGCAUUAAAAGCAGAAAGAUUCAGGAGCACCGGAGACCCUCCCCCUCAUAAAGCCCGCUGUCAUAAACGCUUCUUGUCAUCGGGUGUUGUGUGGUGGUCCUGAGACGGUUGCCAGGCAACCUGCGCUGCAUUGAUAUGUGAGUUGGAAGGAAUCAGGGAAAGCCUUCUGCCUCCGGAGCAUCAGUGUUGGGCGGUGCGACUCCCACCAAACACGAGCGCGCUCGUCUGUCUGAGAACACACGCUCAAGGCUUCGCAUCUCAAAAGAUUACUUUUGCACUCCAAGGCACUUAACGUCCUAGUUUUGAUCAUCUCUUUAACCUCAGAGAAGCAGAACGAGGAUUGAACACCUGAAGUUUAGGACUGUGAAUCCAAGAAAAGAGCUUAUGGAGUUUGUUAACGUGGCUUUGGCUAAUUAAAAAGAGGUACUGGCAGUAACUGAACCUCCCCUCUCUCAUCUGUUCAUCCACGAAAGAACAAAGAGAGAGAGGGUUUCUCAUGAGGAGCUCAUGACAGCUCAACUCAGGAACAAGUGAGAUGAAACUGGGCAGGAAAACACUGGAGCGCCGCGAGAAACGACACACAUCAGACGCCUGGAAAGCACAGCCUCUCUCAGUCAAUCUGGAACUCCCUCCCAGCUAAAGGAUGAUGGGAUACGACUUCACUCUGAGCUGCCAGGGAUGUUCGUGUGUUUCAGAAAGACGGUCCCGCUCAGCAUGUCUGAUGCUAUGUUCCUCCUGAUGCUGUGCAAGAUUGGUGUGAAAGGAAAACUGCAGACUUCUCCAAGGAAAAUGCUAAACACUGCUCUGAGUGAUGAGGAGAAGGGCAUUCAAGACAAGGAAAGCAAGGAAGAGUCCAUUCUGGCCAUGCUGGGAAUCAUUGGGACCAUCCUCAACCUCGUCGUCAUCAUCUUCGUCUACAUCUACACCACCCUGUGAGAUCCACCGGAGUCCACCGGGACUAUGAUUGGGAGUGAGAUUCUGGCACGGAAAAACCAGGCCGUUCCACCAGGGGAUCAUGGGAAUACAGACACUGCUGCGAUGGAGUCGCACAUCUGAAAGAACAGCUUCCCUUCAAACACAGACUACAUAAGGAACUACGUUAGCUGUAAAUAUGCACGUUUUUUCCGUUUCCGGCAGGCGGCCGUCCCGGAUUCAGAGACACAGGAGCGUUUCUAUGCAUGGCUCAGUCCACAGGACGCUCACAUUCAGACCCAUCGGCGGAUUUUAAUAGUAAACAUGCUGUGACGUUUCUUACAAACUCCUGCAGGCGAAAGUUUCAGGUUUAUACUAUAUUUAAAACACUGCUGUUUACAAUAAAUUGCUUAUUAUUAGACCUGCGCUUGGAAAUAGAUCUUGAAUUUUGUCAUGAGCAUUUUAAUACAUACAUUACACAUGUACAGAAUUCAGUAGUUUGGCUAUAAAACGUCAUUUGGCUAGUUUUGCAGUGCAUUUAAUUGAAUUAAUUAACUAUUUAGUUAUGUUUGUGCGAUGCUUAUUUGCAGAUCUUGUUGGUUUGCAGUUUUAGGACAUGGGGUGAUUUAUUGAAAUGUAAUUUUCUGCAAUGACGUUUCUUAUGUACUGUAUGUUCAUUUUAAACAUAGAACUGUUUCCCAUUGUUUUGAAUGAGAGAAAUCUUUGUUUACUCAAACAGACAGACUGUUUAUUAUACGUACAGACAGUGUUGCCUUAAGAAUGAUCGACACAUUCAUAUCUGCAUCAUUUCAGCAAAUAUUUAGUUGCUUAUCAAUGCACAGAAGCAUAAAAGGCAGCAAAAGCAUAUUAUUUGAUGCAAAUAUUUGUUUUUCCCUAAUAAUACCAACAUGUGACUGUACUAAUGUUAAUAAAAGCACAAGAUUAUUUGCAGAAUGAAUGAAUGUACUUUAUGCGAGUACAGUAAAUUUCUGAUAAUGCGACAAAGCAUAUUAAAUCUAGUAAUCAGUGCAUAAAGUGCCUGUGUUUCUGCAAGAUAACUCUGUUUCAGUAACCUCACUGUAUGUUAUAAAUAUGACGAGUCUAAUAGUCUUAAUAACGGUGGUUUUCCAACCUCUCAGCUUCUGUUUUGAAAAAUCAACACAGUUUAUAAUGACAGCAGGAGAUGAGAAUGACGUUUUAUUGCUGAUCAUCAGAUUUUAAAGAGCAUAUUCAUUGUCAGACUCUCUUGGUUGUGGAAAUCAUGUUAUCAUGUUAAUACUGAAUUUUAGUUGACUUUAAUUCCAUAUCUGUGGGGACAGAGUGAAUCAGUAUUACAGUAAUACUCAUUUGUACAUGUGCAAUCUUGUCUAAAAGUCUUUUAUGUAUUUAAAUAUGUAAUAUUGCUACUGCUGAUUUAGUAAAGAUAAAAUUAUUGAAAAAUGUUCUUAAGUAUAUUGACUUUGAAUAGACAAAGACCAUCUGAUUUUAUUCAACUUUUUCUGUAAAUCCACUGUAUAUACGGAUUGGCUGUAGCUUACUGCAUUUUGUGUAAUUAUGGGAUGGACGUUAUGCGCAGUUGCCUAGCGACAAGUAACUUAUAGAGCAGUUUCCAAAAGUUGAGCCUUGCUGCCCUGUUUGAGCUCAAGGACUCGACUUCUGAACGUUUAAAUGCAAAAAUGAAGUCAUUAAAGUUGUGUGACUUAUGUCAAAUCUAUCUAAUUUAAAGAAUGGACCACAACAAACCACUUUAUUUCAUACGUGUGUCAAUUAGGGGUUUUUAAAAGUGUGCUAGAUUAAAGGCGAGAGAUCUGAAACACAGCUGAAGGUCUCUCAAGAAGUGAA
ensembl:lncRNA